rnacentral:rRNA from 1 species
AGAGUUUGAUCCUGGCUCAGAACGAACGCUGGCGGCAUGCCUAACACAUGCAAGUCGAACGAGCCCUUCGGGGUUAGUGGCGCACGGGUGCGUAACGCGUGGGAAUCUGCCCUUGGGUUCGGAAUAACAGUUAGAAAUGACUGCUAAUACCGGAUGAUGUCUUCGGACCAAAGAUUUAUCGCCCAGGGAUGAGCCCGCGUAGGAUUAGGUAGUUGGUGGGGUAAUGGCCCACCAAGCCGACGAUCCUUAGCUGGUCUGAGAGGAUGAUCAGCCACACUGGGACUGAGACACGGCCCAGACUCCUACGGGAGGCAGCAGUGGGGAAUAUUGGACAAUGGGCGAAAGCCUGAUCCAGCAAUGCCGCGUGAGUGAUGAAGGCCUUAGGGUUGUAAAGCUCUUUUACCAGGGAUGAUAAUGACAGUACCUGGAGAAUAAGCUCCGGCUAACUUCGUG